GGUCUUUAAAGCAGGCCAAGUCCCUUGUUGCAUUUUUGUUUCGCCCUGACUUCCAUCACGACUGAGUGGAAAAGUGCCUGCGGGUUUGUACGCUGAAGUUUCCCUCCCUUGUGCUGGGGGGGGGGUGUCUAAAGAGGACGGCUCCAGGAGCAGCUUGCUUCUCCUUCCGUGUCUCGCAUUCCCUUCUCUUGCUCCUUGGCCACCCCCUCGCUGGGCUUCGGCAGAGUCCCCGGAGAGGCUCGGGGGUCAUCAAGAGGCUGGGGCUGCCCGCCUUUGGGUGAAAGAGAAAUUGGGGGGGGGAGUCCCUGCUCUUCAUUUCUCCUGGCGAAGGGAGCGCCUCCCUGUGCUCGACGGCGCCGGGGCUCCCACCCAGACGCUCCCACCCUCCGGGGCUGCCCGUCAGAGUUCCUGUUUUGGGACCAAUCUUGCCCAAGCGACCACGUUGGCCCUUCAGGGGUCGGGGGGGAGGGAGGUUCAGGGCAGGAGCGUUUCCAAACUCUGCCUGAAUGUGCCGCUGAACAUCGUGAUGGAUGGACUUCUUGACCUUCCCGGCGGCUUCCAGCAAAUACCCUGCGUGCACGCACAAAGCACAAAUGUACGGGGAGGCCGCUUCCCUGGGCCAAGGCAGUCCCUUGGGUUGCCUUCCAGGCCUGCAGGGAAGUGGUGGCCUCCGUGUCCAGCGAGGGAAGGGGAGCGGCGAGGGCCUGCUGGCAGUCCAGGGGAGACCCUGGUAGGCAGCAGACGAGGCGUAGGGUCCAGGCGAGAGACUCUUCAGGCGAUGUUCCCGCCCUUCUGGGUGGGUGCCCGCUGCAUGCGCCACUCCACGGCCACUGCAGCUGCGGCCACACGCCGAGCCCCACCGUGCCUCCACCACUGGGCCACCCUCCACAGUCACGUGGAAGAGAGGGAGGCGCAUGUGGGUGGCGGCCUCUCCUCAGCAGACGCCACGCUGCUUUCCAUUUUGACAGGUUGCAAACAAGCAUGAAAUAUUGAGGACGCCGGAAGAGGGGCUGGUGCCGAGCUGGCUCAGCAGCCUCCGGGAAUGAGGGCAGGGGCCCCAUCUGGAGCGCUGGUUCCCUCGCUGCUGCCGGGCCCACGAGCCCACCUUGGCUCCUUCUUGGCCCUAUUGACGAUGCCUCCUGCAGGGGCGCUCCUUGCCCCUCGCCCACGGGCAGCAGCCAGCGCCUCCGGGGUGCCAACUCCAGGGUGUUCUGGGUCCAGCCAAGGGCCACUCCGUUAGUUGGCACCCCUGUUCAAGGCCUCUAUAUGGGCACUUCCAGGGCACCGGCCUCCCUUUUUCCUUGGCCGCUCCUGGCUCUGUGAUCUUCACCUCUUGAAGCACCUUGGGGGGGGGGAGCUAUCAACCGGGGGGGGGGACAG
rnacentral:lncRNA from 1 species